rnacentral:rRNA from 1 species
AUGGCGACAAUGACAAGUUGCAGGCUGUGCGGUGCCGAGGAUUCUUGGCAGCACUCCGUACUUGAUUGCACGGUAGCACGAUGUGUUUGGGAACUCCAAGAUCCUGACCAGGUAGAAGCUUUGAACAAUACCACGAAACCAGAUGUGAAGUGAUGGAUUUUUUCUCUUAUAGAAAUGUUGUCUCGUGAUGAAUUUACCCAAGUUCUGGUGACGAUGUGGUCUAUCUGGUAUGCGAAAAGCCAGGCCCUACAUGAACAUGUUUUCCCGAGCCCACUACUGAGGUGGGUACCGCCAUAGCCUGGAAUAGCAAAAAUUAGAGUGGAUGGGGCAGUCGCCAAAAACCUAAAUGAAGGUACGUUUAGUGCGGUUUGCAGGGAUUCAUCUGGUACAUACCUUGGAGCAUCGGUUAUACGAUGUAGGGGAAUUACUGACCCAACAACUUUGGAGGCACUGGCUUGUCAUGAAGCCUUGGCGCUAGCCAUAGAUCUUGCAUUAUCGCAUGUUUUAGUGGCAUCGGAUUGCCAAGGAGUAGUUCAUGACAUCAAGAACAAUACUGGAGGCACAUAUGUUAGCAUCGUCAAGGAGAUUAUGGAAACUUCUAGGACUUUUCAUGUUUGUACCUUCAUCUUCGAAGGGAGCGAAUCAUAUUUUGAGGCACAUAGCCUCGCUAAACAUGCUUUUGGUCUCGAUGUUGGGCGCCAUGUGUGGCUCAUCAACCCGCCGGACUUACAUUGCAUCCCCAGGAACCUGAUUACUUAA